GGACUGGGAGUGGGAAGGACCCCAAGAGAGGGCAGGCUGCCCCAGGCCCUGCCCCCUCCAGGAAGCCUUCUCUCUCCAGCCC
rnacentral:pre_miRNA from 1 species